CCUACGGGAGGCAGCAGUGGGGAAUUUUGGACAAUGGGGGCAACCCUGAUCCAGCAAUGCCGCGUGAGUGAAGAAGGCCUUCGGGUUGUAAAGCUCUUUUGUCAGGGAAGAAACAGCAGCUCUAACACAGACUGCGAAUGACGGUACCUGAAGAAUAAGCACCGGCUAACUACGUGCCAGCAGCCGCGGUAAUACGUAGGGUGCGAGCGUUAAUCGGAAUUACUGGGCGUAAAGCGUGCGCAGGCGGUUAUACAAGACAGGCGUGAAAUCCCCGGGCUUAACCUGGGAAUGGCGUCUGUGACUGUAUAGCUAGAGUGUGUCAGAGGGGGGUGGAAUUCCACGUGUAGCAGUGAAAUGCGUAGAUAUGUGGAGGAACACCAAUGGCGAAGGCAGCCCCCUGGGAUAACACUGACGCUCAUGCACGAAAGCGUGGGGAGCAAACAGGAUUAGAUACCCUGGUAGUCCACGCCCUAAACGAUGCUGACUAGUUGUUGGGAAUUUACAUUCUCAGUAACGUAGCUAACGCGUGAAGUCAGCCGCCUGGGGAGUACGGUCGCAAGAUUAAAACUUAAAGGAAUUGACGG
rnacentral:rRNA from 1 species